UUGGUACAAGGAGCACCUUAAAUUGUACUGUAAAAUUGGGACAAACAGGGGUAGUUUGUAAUUUUAUUAUCUCUUUGGGGAGUAAAAUAAUUGAAAUCAUAAUUUUAUGGAGACGUGUCUUCUUUAGAUUAAAUCUACUUAUGUUGGGAGUUAUACGAGUCAUUUAACAACAGUCCCUUCAUUUUCCUCAUACCUUUAUCUUUCCAUAGUCAAAUAGUGUGCUUCUAACUUUAUCUGCUUAAGUCUUCAGUGGUCUCUUCCAUUUUGUUUUAGACAAUCAGUGAUCUUCUCCAUCCAGUUUAUAAUAUUUUUACUAGAAGAACAUCUGCGGUGUACUUUUAAAAAUGCACAUGCAUCCCGAUCGGCCAGAUACAAUCAAAAAUCUGAAAACAGAGGAAGAGAUUAUUUUUAAGUGUCAUAAAUUUUCCCUAUUCUUUCUUGGUAUGUAACUUUCAUUCUUUUUUUGUCUACUGAUUUAGCAACUUAUUUGCCUAUAAAGAUCUUUUUGCAUUUGUACUUUAUUUUUCAAUGUUUUCUGGUGGACUCCGCAUAAGCAUAUUUGUUUAAAGGAUUCUAUGAAAAUUUUCUACUCGGCUGCACAAACGACAACAACAUUAACCGCAUGGAAUCACCAUCUGAAAGAAAAAUUGUGAUGAAAAAGAGAGAACUUUGAUGCAGCCAAAGUGUUUGCUGAUAUGCCUGGAAGUACUGAAUAAUUUUCUAUUCUAUUUUUUCCCACAGGUGAUUUUUAACAAAAACAUCUACUAUUAUUUUGCAACCCCUGAAUUUUUGAUAGCACAAAUAUAGGACAUUUGAAAGAUUUUUAUACAACUUUCUGUAUAACGACAGAAAAAUGCAGUGUAUUCUAUACUGGGGGUGUGUUUGCAAAUUCAUUUGUAUCUAACAAAACAGAGUUAUAAUUACUUUUGAAAGGAUCUAAAGAAAGCUAUCUCUUAGUUCAGGAAGAUGAUAAUUGAUGAUUAAGCUAGUAGUGAUGGAUAGAUGUGGGAAAAAAACUAUAUCUAUUGCAACUGAAUAAUGUAAACAUGUGUCCCCACACGGGAAGUGUAUGCUUUUUGAGUUUCAAAUGUUACAGCAUUUCAUUUAGACAUGCUUGUCGGAGAUAGUAUCAAUUUGUACAUAGCAUAGGUUUCGAACUAGAUGCCAACUUAAUUUUUUGGUAAUCAAAAGUAUCUUUCCGCUCCAAUAAUGAAAAUUGCAACAGAUUAUACACUAUUUUAAAUUUUAUGAAAUUUGUGAAGCAAAUAUAUAAUGAAAUCUUCACAUGAAAAUUAAAGUUCAUGAGAUGAUGGUUAUAUAGAAGUUGAGUUUUCAGAGCUUAUUUUCCGAUGUAACCUUCGAUGGAUCUCUUUGUUCAUGUCCAUGUGAGUGUAAUGUAUCAAUGCGCACAUUUAUAUUUAUCUUACUUUCUCUAUAUAUGGUGUCUCAAUUGUACUUUUUGGUGGCAGUGGAGAUUACUGUGAAAUAUGUAAUUCGGUGAUAUUGCAGAUAUAUAUAUGAGAGAACACGCGGAUGAAUAGGUGUUAUUAGGUGGAGCUUUGUUGAUUCAGGCUAACUAAGGAGUAGUAGAAAAGAGAAAGGAGAUCUUAUAAGAGACUUAGCCAUGUUACCUGAAACUUAGUAAGAACAGUUGCUACUACUGCGACUUUAGAAGGGAGUCAUGUGUUCUGAAUUGGUUUAUUAAAUUGUGUAGUGCACAAAUUGAUAAAUUGCUUGAGUUACUAUUAUAUAUAUUGUUGGAAUGACAUCA